AGCGAACGCUGGCGGCAGGACCUAAAACAUGCAAGUCGAACGCCGUAGCAAUACGGAGUGGCAGACGGGUGAGUAACACGUGGGAACGUGCCCUUUGGUUCGGAACAACACAGGGAAACUUGUGCUAAUACCGGAUAAGCCCUUACGGGGAAGAUUAUCGCCGAAGGAUCGGCCCGCGUCUGAUUAGCUAGUUGGUGAGGUAACGGCUCACCAAGGCGACGAUCAGUAGCUGGUCNGAGAGGAUGAUCAGCCACAC
rnacentral:rRNA from 1 species